rfam:Ovis aries breed Texel chromosome 8, whole genome shotgun sequence.
CCCCUGAUGGUCCAGUGGCUAAGACUCUGAGCUCCCAAUCCAGGGGGUCUGAGUUCGAUCCUUGGUCAGGGAA